UGCAUUUUUUGGUAAGACGAUGUUAACAAAAGUUGUUCGUCUUGAUGAGGGCUACAACUUUUCUUAAUAUCCUUUUAACAAAUUAUGCGUAUUUAAGAAGAUAGCGCUGCGCAUGCGCAGAACUAAACUCCUUUCGCUUGCAUUUUUUGGUAAGACGAUGUUAACAAAAGUUGUUGGUCUUGAUGAGGGCUACAACUUUGCUUAAUAUCCUUUCAACAAAUGAUGCG
rnacentral:miRNA from 1 species